rnacentral:pre_miRNA from 1 species
GUUCUACUCCCUCCGUUCGGAAUUACUUGUCUCGAAUAUGGAUGUAUCUAGAACUAAAAUACAUCUAGAUACAUCCAUUUCUGUGACAAGUAAUUCCGAACGGAGGGAGUACUUC